rnacentral:rRNA from 1 species
UAGGAUAUCUUAAUUCAACAUCGAGGUGAUAAACUUUUUCUUCGAUUAGGGCUCUUAGAAAAAAUUAUCCUGUUAUCCCUAAAGUAGCUUUUAUUUUUCGAUCAUUAUUUUUUUUUUCUUAAGAAUAAUGGGUCAUUAUAACCUACUUUGUAACUGUUAAAUAUAUUAAUUAAACAGUAAAUUAUUUUAUUAAUAUAGUUUAUCUCUGUUUUUUUUUAGAGAUCAUCGCCCCAAUGAAACUACCCAUUUUUUACGUUUUUAUCUUUUUAAGGGUGUUGUAAAAAAUUAUAGUUAAGCUUUAUAGGGUCUUUUCGUCUUACAAUUUUACAUAGCAUCUUAACUAUGAUUUAAAUUUUUCUUUUACACCAUAAGACAGAGAAAUUUUCGUUUAACCGUUCAUACUAUCCACUAAUUAAGUGGCGAAUGAUUAUGCUACAUUCAUACAGUCAUAGUUACUGCAGCCAUUUAGUUUUUUGUAUUUAAUUUAAUAAAAUUUACAAACCAUUGGGC